rnacentral:rRNA from 1 species
AACGGCCGUAGCAUGCUGAAUAUACCGGUUCUCGUUAGAUCACCGAAGUCAAGCAUCAUUGGGCGCGGUCAGUACUUGGGUGGGUGACCACCUGGGAACACCGCGUGCCGUU